ACUGCACGUUGUUAAAGCCCGAGGUUGAGGCCGGUGAACUCACAAGUGUAGGUCGUGCGCUACAUGAGGGACAUGUCUUUCAGUAACACCACAGGGGACUCUGGUCCAAUGGGUGGAGUUUGAUAGUUCUUGCUACGAGG
ensembl:snoRNA SNORA62 Small nucleolar RNA SNORA62/SNORA6 family